ACCCAAUGCCGAGUCCUAUGGGACCUUCGGGUCCCAAUGGMCUUCGGCCCAUGGCGGACGGCUCAGUAACACGUGGCUAACCUACCCUCGGGUGGGGGAUAACCUCGGGAAACUGAGGAUAAUACCCCAUAGGAGAAGAGGUCUGGAAUGAUCCUUCUCUGAAAACAUAUGUGCCCGAGGAUGGGGCUGCGUCUGAUUAGGUAGUUGGUGGGGUAACGGCCCACCAAGCCUACGAUCAGUACGGGCCUUGAGAGAGGCAGCCCGGAGAUGGGGACUGAGACACGGCCCCAGGCCUACGGGGCGCAGAGGCGCGAAACCUCCGCAAUGCACGAAAGUGCGANCGGGGGGACCCAAGUGCUUACGCACUGCGUAGGCUUUUCUAAAGUGUAAAAAGCUUUAGGAAUAAGGGCUGGGCAAGUCCGGUGCCAGCAGCCGCGGUAACACCGGCGGCCCGAGUGGUGACCACUUUUAUUGGGCCUAAAGCGUCCGUAGCCGGUCCAGUAAGUCCCUGUUUAAAUCCUACGGCUUAACCGUAGGGCUGGCAGGGAUACUGCUGGACUUGGGACCGGGAGAGGGCGAGGGUACUUCAGGGGUAGCGGUGAAAUGUGUUGAUCCCUGGAGGACCACCUAUGGCGAAGGCACUCGCCUGGAACGGGUCCGACGGUGAGGGACGAAAGCCAGGGGCGCGAACCGGAUUAGAUACCCGGGUAGUCCUGGCCGUAAACUCUGCGGACUAGGUGUUAGGUAGGCCCCGUGCCUAUCUAGUGCCGAAGGGAAGCCGUUAAGUCCGCCGCCUGGGGAGUACGGUCGGAAGACUUAAAACUUAAAGGAAUU
rnacentral:rRNA from 1 species